rnacentral:rRNA from 1 species
CCUACGGGGAGCUGCAGUGAGGAAUAUUGGUCAAUGGACGAGAGUCUGAACCAGCCAAGUAGCGUGAAGGAUGACUGCCCUAUGGGUUGUAAACUUCUUUUAUAUGGGAAUAAAAUGUUCCACGUGUGGGAUUUUGUAUGUACCAUAUGAAUAAGGAUCGGCUAACUCCGUGCCAGCAGCCGCGGUAAUACGGAGGAUCCGAGCGUUAUCCGGAUUUAUUGGGUUUAAAGGGAGCGUAGGUGGAUUGUUAAGUCAGUUGUGAAAGUUUGCGGCUCAACCGUAAAAUUGCAGUUGAAACUGGCAGUCUUGAGUACAGUAGAGGUGGGCCGAAUUCGUGGUGUAGCGGUGAAAGGCUUAGAUAUCACGAAGAACUCCGAUUGCGAAGGCAGCUCACUGGACUGCAACUGACACUGAGGCUCGAAAGUGUGGGUAUCAAACAGGAUUAGAUACCCCUGUAGUC